CUCUGGCAAAAAGGGAGAGAACAAGGAUAGGAGAGGCAGUGGGGGAAAGGUUCAAGUGCGGGUUUUCUCCUUGAACCUAGAAGAUUAUGGGUCAAGAGCUGUGUGCAAAGACUGUACAGCCUGGAUGCAGCUGCUAUCGUUGUUCAGAGGGAGGCGAGGCACACAGCUGUCGGAGGAGUCAGCCUGAGACCACGGAGGCUGCGUUCAAGCUAACAGACCUAAAAGAAGCAUCAUGUUCCAUGACUUCAUUUCACCCCAGGGGACUUCAAGCUGUCCGUGCCCAGAAGUUCAAGAGUAAAAGGCCACGGAGUAACAGUGAUUCUUUUCAGGAAGAGGAUCUGAGGCAGGGUUUUCAGUGGAGGAAGAGCCUCCCUUUUGGGGCAGCCUCAUCUUACUUGAACUUGGAGAAGCUGGGUGAAGGCUCUUAUGCUACAGUUUACAAGGGGAUUAGCAGAAUAAAUGGACAACUAGUGGCUUUAAAAGUCAUCAGCAUGAAUGCAGAGGAAGGAGUCCCAUUUACAGCUAUCCGAGAAGCUUCUCUCCUGAAGGGUUUGAAACAUGCCAAUAUUGUGCUGCUGCAUGACAUAAUCCACACCAAAGAGACACUGACAUUCGUUUUUGAAUACAUGCUUUUCAUGUUUCAACUUUUGCGGGGCCUGGCGUACAUCCACCACCAACACGUUCUUCACAGGGACCUGAAACCUCAGAACUUACUCAUCAGUCACCUGGGAGAGCUCAAACUGGCUGAUUUUGGUCUUGCCCGGGCCAAGUCCAUUCCCAGCCAGACAUACUCUUCAGAAGUCGUGACCCUCUGGUACCGGCCCCCUGAUGCUUUGCUGGGAGCCACUGAAUAUUCCUCUGAGCUGGACAUAUGGGGUGCAGGCUGCAUCUUUAUUGAAAUGUUCCAGGGUCAACCUUUGUUUCCUGGGGUUUCCAACAUCCUUGAACAGCUGGAGAAAAUCUGGGAGGUGCUGGGAGUCCCUACAGAGGAUACUUGGCCGGGAGUCUCCAAGCUACCUAACUACAAUCCAGGUGGAAGCAAGAAGCAGCAUGGAUGGCAUACUGACAUCGGACAGCAUAGUACUGCAGCAAUGCAGCCUUGUUCUAGGAAUGUCUUAUUUUGACCUUAAAUCCAGUGUGAGAGCUUCACUGCGUCUGAAACCACUAUGAGACAGAAGAUGAUUAAAAUGAUCCUUGUCCCCACUGGGAUGAUAAAGAGCUAUUCUGCUUUGGGCUCAAUGAGUUCUGAGCAAGUCUCUGUGUUUGCUGUGAGCACAAGCUAAGGUCUGCAUCUGGGUCGGCAUCAGCUUGGUUGUAUGAGCUAUUAGCCAAGGGAGUUAUUCAGUGGGUUGAACUAAGGGGAAAGAUAUUGAUAAAAGAGGCUUUAACUGCAGGCAUCAAUUCAUAUGGAACUGUAAGUCCAAGCUCCCCCUUUUACUAUCUGGGGUAACUUGAGGAAGUUACUUAUUUCCUAGUUCUGUAAUCUGCAAAAUGGGAGAAAUCCUAUCAUUGUAAAAGUGUUUCCUAUGUGCCAGACACAGAACAUACACAAUUGCUAAUCCUAUUACUGCCUGCCAAGAUCGAUGCUGGGUGGAGUAGCCCGAUUCUACAGAUGAGGAAACAGAGGCUUUCUCCUAGGCUCACAGAGAGGUGUAUACUUAUUGGAAAUGGCUGAAAUCUGCAUCCAAACCUUGUUCUCCUUUCAUUAAUCAUGUUGUAUCCCUCUGUCUCAUUUUGCAGGAUGAGUCUGAAAAAUAAAUGAUAUUGAAUUGCAUCUGCUAUAGUGCCUAACUUUUAGUAGGUGCUCAAUAAAAGUUCCCAUUCGGUU
rnacentral:sRNA from 1 species